GCAGCCGCCGCGGGAAUACAGAGGGUGCGAGCGUUAAUCGGAUUUACUGGGCGUAAAGCGUGCGUAGGCGGCUUAUUAAGUCGGAUGUGAAAUCCCUGAGCUUAACUUAGGAAUUGCAUUCGAUACUGGGAAGCUAGAGUAUGGGAGAGGAUGGUAGAAUUCCAGGUGUAGCGGUGAAAUGCGUAGAGAUCUGGAGGAAUACCGAUGGCGAAGGCAGCCAUCUGGCCUAAUACUGACGCUGAGGUACGAAAGCAUGGGGAGCAAACAGGAUUAGAUACCCGGGUAGUCCCUGUCUCUUAUAA
rnacentral:rRNA from 1 species